AGUGGCGAACGGGUGAGUAACGCGUGAGUAACCUGCCCUUCACUCUGGGAUAACAGUUGGAAACGGCUGCUAAUACCGGAUAUUCAGCUCCUGUCGCAUGGUGGGGGUUGGAAAGUUUUGGUGGUGGAGGAUGGGCUCGCGUCCUAUCAGCUUGUUGGUGGGGUGAUGGCCUACCAAGGCGUCGACGGGUAGCCGGCCUGAGAGGGCGACCGGCCACAUUGGGACUGAGAUACGGCCCAAACUCCUACGGGAGGCAGCAGUGGGGAAUAUUGCACAAUGGGCGGAACUUGAUGCAGCAACGCCGCGUGCGGGAUGACGGCCUUCGGGUUGUAAACGCUUUCAGCAGGGACGAAGCGUGAGUUACGGUACCUGCAGAAGAAGCACCGGCUAACUACGUGCCAGCAGCCGCGGUGAUACGUAGGGUGCGAGCGUUGUCCGGAUUUAUUGGGCGUAAAGAGCUUGUAGGCGGUUGGUUGCGUCGAAGUGCAACUCAGGGGCUAACUCUGAGCCUGCUUUCGAUACGUGCUGACUGGAGGAAGGUAGGGGGAGAAUGGGAAUCCCGUGGAGCGGUGGAAUGCGCAGAUAUCGGGAGGGACACCAGUGGCGAAGGCGUUCUCUGACCUUUCCUGACGCUGAGAACAAAACUUGGGAGCAAACAAGGCUUAUAUACCCUGGUAGUCAACGCUGUAAACGGUUGGGUACUAGGUGUGGGGGACAUUCCACGUUCUCUGUGCCGUACUAACGCAUUAAGUACCCCGCCUGGGGAGUACGGCCGCAAGGCUAAAACUCAAAGGAAUUGACGGGGCCCGCACAAGCGGCGGAGCAUGCGGAUUAAUUCGAUGCAACGCGAAGAACCUUACCUGGGUUUGACAUAUAUCGGAAACGUUCAGAGAUGGGCGCCCCGUAAGGUCGGUAUACAGGUGGUGCAUGGCUGUCGUCAGCUCGUGUCGUGAGAUGUUGGGUUAAGUCCCGCAACGAGCGCAACCCUCGUCCAAUGUUGCCAGCGGGUUAUGCCGGGGACUCAUUGGAGACCGCCGGGGUCAACUCGGAGGAAGGUGGGGAUGACGUCAAGUCAUCAUGCCCCUUAUGUCCAGGGCUUCACGCAUGCUACAAUGGCCGGUACAAAGAGUUGCGAGCCUGUGAGGGUGAGCGAAUCUCAAAAAGCCGGUCUCAGUUCGGAUUGGGGUCUGCAACUCGACCCCAUGAAGUCGGAGUCGCUAGUAAUCGCAGAUCAGCAACGCUGCGGUGAAUACGUUCCCGGGGCUUGUACACACCGCCCGUCAAGUCAUGAAAGUCGGUAACACCCGAACCGGUGGCCUAACCCGUUUGGGGGGGAGCUGUC
rnacentral:rRNA from 1 species